GUUUUACAAAUUUGGAAGCCAAGGCUCAGAGAUUAAAUAACUUACCCACAGCCUGGUAAGCAUUCUUACACAAGGAGUGAUAAAGUUGGAAAGAUCAGAAAUCAAGAACAUUACACAAGGGGGCAAAACUUCUGGAAAAAGAUCAGUGCCAUUUUAAGGGCAACAGUCAAUAUCACUCUUAUUUGGAUCAUCCCAAAUUGCAAUGAAGGGUAUUACAUGUUGCAAUGCUAUAUUCAGAAGUUCAGUGAGAAGAAAUCGAAGCCUUCCCUAUGAGGAAGUUUUUGCAGUGUGCUGCCCAGUUCCCUUUCUCCAGUCCACAGUUGAUGGGAAAAGAAGCAAAAAAAGACAUGGGUGUUGAAAGCCAUGACAAAAACGUCACAGUAGCCAGCCUCAACCUGAAGUAGAGCAUAUCUAAGCAAACUGCAAAAAUGGGGCCCAGAUUCCGGGCUGAACUAUGCCAGAAGUCCACCAUUUCUAUGAAGUUUUGUUCCCAUAUCAAUAAAUUGCUCUAAUUAUUUAAAUUACCAU
rnacentral:lncRNA from 1 species